AUUGAACGCUGGCGGCAUGCCUAACACAUGCAAGUCGAGCGAGCGGCGGACGGGUGAGUAAUGUAUGGGGACCGCCCGAUAUAGGGGGAUAAAUAUCGGAAACGGUGGCUUAUACCGCACACUGUUGGCUAACCCAUUUGGGAGUAGCUACGUGGUAAGGUAAUGGCUUACCCAGGCGACGAUCCCUAGCUGGCCUGAGAGGAUGAUCAGCCACACUGGGACUGAGACACGGCCCAGACUCCUACGGAGGCAGCAGUGGGGAAUAUUGCACAAUGGGCGCAAGCCUGAUGCAGCCAUGCCGCGUGUAUGAAGAAGGCCCUAGGUUUGUAAAGUACUUUCAGUCGGGAGGCGUUACCGACAGAAGAAGCACCGGCUAACUCCGUGCCAGCAGCCGCGGUAAUUC
rnacentral:rRNA from 1 species